UCUAAGGAUGAAUAAAAGUAAAAUUUUAUUCUAAAUAAUAUACACGGUUAAUGUUGACCGUCCUCAUUUCUCUUCUUAAAGAUUGUGUUUCUCUUGCAUGGGGGCCGGUAGCUCAGUUGGUUAGAGCACACCCUUGAUAAGGGUGGGGUCGAAAGUUCGAGUCUUUCUCGGCCCACCACUUUAAGAUUAAGGGGGAUUAGCUCAGCUGGGAGAGCGCCUGAUUUGCAUUCAGGAGGUCAGCGGUUCGAUCCCGCUAUCCUCCACCAAAAACACUUAGCUAUAAAAAAUUGUAAAUAAAAUAAUUAAUAUCAAUAUCUAUAUCCGAACAUUAGAAAUGUUAUUAGCUAAUGUUCAAAUAAAAAUUUGAUUCAACACAGAAUUUUUUUCUGUGCAUAAAU
rnacentral:tRNA from 1 species